AUUAUACAGCGAAACUGCGAAUGGCUCAUUAUAUAAGUUAUCGUUUAUUUGAUAGUACCUUACUACUUGGAUAACCGUGGUAAUUCUAGAGCUAAUACAUGCUGAAAAUCCCGACUUCGGAAGGGAUGUAUUUAUUAGAUUAAAAACCAAUGCCCUCUGGGCUCCUUGGUGAUUCAUAAUAACUUUUCGAAUCGCACGGCCUUGCGCCGGCGAUGGUUCAUUCAAAUUUCUUCCCUAUCAACUUUCGAUGUUUGGGUAUUGGCCAAACAUGGUCGCAACGGGUAACGGAGGGUUAGGGCUCGACCCCGGAGAAGGAGCCUGAGAAACGGCUACUACAUCCAAGGAAGGCAGCAGGCGCGCAAAUUACCCAAUCCCGAUUCGGGGAGGUAGUGACAAUAAAUACUGAUACAGGGCUCUUUUGGGUCUUGUAAUUGGAAUGAGUACAAUUUAAAUCUCUUAACGAGGAACAAUUGGAGGGCAAGUCUGGUGCCAGCAGCCGCGGUAAUUCCAGCUCCAAUAGCGUAUAUUAAAGUUGUUGUGGUUAAAAAGCUCGUAGUUGAACCUUGGGCCUGGCUGGCCGGUCCGCCUCACCGCGUGCACUGGUCCGGCCGGGCCUUUCCCUCUGUGGAACCCCAUGCUCUUCACUGAGUGUGGCGGGGAAACAGGACUUUUACUUUGAAAAAAUUAGAGUGCUCCAGGCAGGCCUAUGCUCGAAUACAUUAGCAUGGAAUAAUAAAAUAGGACGUGUGGUUCUAUUUUGUUGGUUUCUAGGACCGCCGUAAUGAUUAAUAGGGACAGUCGGGGGCAUCAGUAUUCAAUUGUCAGAGGUGAAAUUCUUGGAUUUAUUGAAGACUAACUACUGCGAAAGCAUUUGCCAAGGAUGUUUUCAUUAAUCAGGAACGAAAGUUAGGGGAUCGAAGACGAUCAGAUACCGUCGUAGUCUUAACCAUAAACUAUGCCGACUAGGGAUCGGACGAUGUUAUUUUUUGACGCGUUCGGCACCUUACGAGAAAUCAAAGUGCUUGGGCUCCAGGGGGAGUAUGGUCGCAAGGCUGAAACUUA
rnacentral:rRNA from 1 species